rnacentral:rRNA from 1 species
AUUGAACGCUGGCGGCAUGCCUUACACAUGCAAGUCGAACGGCAGCACGGGUGCUUGCACCUGGUGGCGAGUGGCGAACGGGUGAGUAAUACAUCGGAACAUGUCCUGUAGUGGGGGAUAGCCCGGCGAAAGCCGGAUUAAUACCGCAUACGAUCUUCGGAUGAAAGCGGGGGCCCUUCGGGCCUCGCGCUAUAGGGUUGGCCGAUGGCUGAUUAGCUAGUUGGUGGGGUAAAGGCCUACCAAGGCGACGAUCAGUAGCUGGUCUGAGAGGACGACCAGCCACACUGGGACUGAGACACGGCCCAGACUCCUACGGGAGGCAGCAGUGGGGAAUUUUGGACAAUGGGCGAAAGCCUGAUCCAGCAAUGCCGCGUGUGUGAAGAAGGCCUUCGGGUUGUAAAGCACUUUUGUCCGGAAAGAAAUACUUGGCCCUAAUACGGUCGGGGGAUGACGGUACCGGAAGAAUAAGCACCGGCUAACUACGUG